CCGUACAACGGAAGCUGCCCGGGAUUCUUGACCCCCAGCAGCCACUACAACUGUUACGUCACAUCGGUCCAGCAGUCCUGCUGCGGCACGUGCAAGCAAUACUACACUGGACGUGUGGGUUGUGAGUACGGAGACAAAUCCAAGGACUGUGGUUUGUACCCAAAGUCUUUGGUCUGCCCGUCCUACGGGAGCACCCUCUGUUGUGGCUAUUGCUAUGGUUAUGUUGGCAAACGUUCUAUCCUUGACGGAGACGGUCAGCCACCAGUGAACAUCACCAUCACCCCACCCGUCAGCCCACGGGCCAUCAUACAACACGAGCACAAGGACAAGAUCAGUG